UACGUAGGGUGCAAGCGUUGUCCGGAACUAUUGGGCGUAAAGAGCUCGUAGGCGGUCUGUUGCGUCGGCUGUGAAAACCCGGGGCUCAACUCCGGGCCUGCAGCCGAUACGGGCAGACUAGAGUUCGGCAGGGGAGACUGGAAUUCCUGGUGUAGCGGUGAAAUGCGCAGAUAUCAGGAGGAACACCGGUGGCGAAGGCGGGUCUCUGGGCCGAUACUGACGCUGAGGAGCGAAAGCGUGGGGAGCGAACAGG
rnacentral:rRNA from 1 species